UUUACUGUGCGACCUCCGUGGCUGCCCGUGGUCUCUGCGGUGCCCCAGCCGUGUCCUGGUCUGCCACUUGAAGCCAUAUAAUUGCGCUUAUCUCUUGGCGCACACUCAAGAGGCCCCGGCUCAAUAUGUUUUUGGAGUGAAAUGAAGUGCCCAUCGUGUCCACUUGUAAAAAGACCAGGGCGACUGAGCCAGCUUGGGAAGGACAGUGGGAGAGAAGAUGGAGAGGUGCAAGUAGAAGUGGACUUC
rnacentral:lncRNA from 1 species